CAGUAAAUGCUGUAAUUGCUGUGCAAGUUGACCUCCCUGGUACUUGCCAGAAGGAACAAGCUGUUCCUUCAACAAACAAACGUUUCUGGGACCUGUGACUGGCUCUGGCCCCUGAGGAGAAGCACUUGAAUGCCCCAUGUGGUGAGUGGGGCCCUGGAACUUCCAGGUCUAUUCUACACCAUGAACACUCAUUUCCCUCUGUCAGAUCUAAUGGUUUUAUGGAUGAAUUAUUCAGAAAGAGAAGAAAAGAAGAAAAAGAAAAAGAAAGCAGAAGAGGAAAAGAGCUUCUUUCUUUGAACAAGACUGAAUAUUAGAGUUACUCUUUCAGGUUAUUACAACCAAAAACCUCAUGUAUGAUUAUAAAUGACAUGACUGUGGGCUAGUUACUGGUGCUAUAAUGGGAUGAGCCCUUGGAAGCAAAGUUGAAUAUAAUUUACACAUGGGAGGAAAGUGAUUGGUCAUGAUCAGAGAGUGGACUGUGAUGGAUUAUGUUUCCAAUGAUGGCCCCCAAAAUAUCUCCAUCCUACAUACUCUCUUGUAAUGUGACCUUGCCAUUUCCCCAUAAAGAGUUGGUAUCUACUUCUCCUCCUCUUGAAUAUGGUCUGAUCCAGUGACCCUUAUUGAUCAAUAGAAUGUGAUGGAAGUGAUGCUGUGUAACCUCCAAGUUUGGGCCUUAUGAAAUCUAUAGUUUCCACCAUGGGCUCUGGGAACAUGUAGAGAAGAACCAAGUUGUUCCAGCUGAAAACAGCUGAGCUUUCAGCCAACAUGCAGCACCAAGUAAUGGCUGUUUAAAUGAUCUUUCUUCGCUAUUGAUGGUGUAACCAUGCUUCCAGAUGACUACAGACUGAGCCAACACCAUGUAGGACAAAAGAGUUUCUCAACUGUGCCCAAAAAAUUCAGGGAAUCAUGAGAAAUAAUAAAUGGUUUGGUUGUUCUAAGUCAUUAA